UUGAUAUCAGCACUUCAGGCUUAUCGUCUUAUGCAGAAAGGUUGUUUUUGUUAUAUGGUGUGUGUAAAGGAGCAUUUAAAACAGGAAACCCAUCUAGAUGAAAUUUCAGUGGUCAAAGAGUUCCCUGAUGUAUUUCCAGAUGACUUGCCCUGUAAUAUCCCCCACUUUUAAAAAUGUAUUAAUAAGGAUUUAUAUGUAAAUUGGGGAACCUAUAUAUAAAUAUAGAAAUUACAAGGACUAAACUGCUAAGUUGCAAAAAGAAAAAAAAAAAAAAAGGAAAAACCGAAAAUUCGGUAUUAUCCCACCGCCUCCCACGCACUCUGUUUCUUUCCAGAAACAGAGAGAGCGGUGGGGUGUGAGGAGAAGAAGGAGAGUGGUUGAAGAAAAGAAGAAGAAGAGGGAAAAGAAGAGAGGAGGCAGAAGAGAGGAAGUAGAGAAGAAGAUGAAGAAGAAGAAGAAGAGGAGGUGGCUGCAGCGAGGGCUGCAGCGAGAAGCUGUGGGGCGUGGGGAGAAGAAGAGAGGAAGAAGAGGGAGAAGGGAAGAAGAAGAAGAAGAAGCAGAAGAAGUAGAAGAAGAAGAAGAAGAGAGGAUGAUAGCUGCGGCAAGGCUGCAGCGAGGAGGUGUGUGGGGUUGGGGAGGAAAAGGGAAGAGGAGAAGAAAAGAAGGAGAAGAAGAGGGAAAAGAGAGGGAAGAGGGAGAGGAGCGAGAGGUGGCAGGAGCUAGGGCUGCAGCACCUCUGUUUCCUGCAGGUGGAAACAGAGGAGAGGUGGGGCGUUCGAAGAGGAGAAGAAGAAGAAGAAGGAAGAGAAGAGGAAGAGGAAGCAGGAGAAGAGGUUGUGAUACCUCUGUUUCCUGCAGAGGAAACAGAGGAGAGGGUGUGUGUGACGUCGGGGAGAAGAAGGGGAGGAAGAAGAAGAAGAGAAGAAGAAGAAAGGAAGGAGAGGAAGAAGAGAAGGGAAAGGAGGAGCUGCGGCUGCGGCGGUGGCAGCUGCAGCUGGAAGAGAAGGAGAGGAAGAAGAUGGUGAGGAAGAAGAGAAGAAGUAGAAGCGGGUGAAGAGGCGGCACCUCUGUUUCCUGCAGGAGGAAACAGAGGAAAGGAGGUGCUGUUCGUCGGGGAGAAGAAGGGGGCUGCAGCUGCGGCGAUGGCGGCUGCAGCUGCGGCGAUGGCAGCUGCAGCUGGAAGAGAAGAAGAAGAGGAAGAUGAGCAGGGGAGGAGGGAGAGGUUGCGGCCGUGGCUGCGGCCGCGACUGCAGCAGUUGCAGCGGGGAGAUAAGAAGAAGAAAGGAAGGAGAAGGAAGAGGAGAAGGGAAAGAAGUAGCUGCGGCUGCGGUUGUGGCAGCUGCAGCUGUGGCAGGGAAAGAGGAAGAGAAAAAGGAAAGGAAGAAGAAGAGAAAGGGAAGGAGAGGAAGAAGAGAGGAAGAGGAGAAGGGGCUGCGGCUGCGGCGAUGGCAGCUGCAGCUGUGGCUGGGAAAGAAGAGAAGGAAAGAAAGAAGGAAUGAGAGUAAGAGAGAGCAGGUGACUGUGCCUCGAUGUUCGACACGUGAUGUAGUUACGAAGAAAGGAAGAAAACGGGAGCACAAAACGAAACAGAGAGAGGACACGGAGGAAAAGUAGAAAGAUUGGACUGGCACCUUCCUUGGAUAUUCAGAUCAAAAUAUUUGAAAGGUCAGCUUGUCACUCUUCGAGAUGUUUGAUUUGGGCUGAGGCAGUGGAUAGCUAUUCAGAAUAAUGGGCAAGUCUGGUUGGUUAUUACGAUAUUGUUGUAUAAGUAUGUCUUGUAUAUAAUGAAAUGUUGUCGAUGAACCGAAAUAGAUAUACUGUGUCCAAGUGUUAGGAGAUCUCUCUUAUUUGGAAUUUCAGAAUGUUAAGUCUAAUUUAUGGCGAUAUGAACUUGUGGUGAAUAGUUGGAGUUCUGAUUGUAUAAUUUAUUUAGCUUGUGGAUUUAUAAAUGUUGUUCAUGUUUGUCAA